rnacentral:lncRNA from 1 species
UGUGUUUAUUUUGGUUAUUUUGGGACCCACAUGUCAUUGUAGAAUAUUUUAUAUACUUGGCUACGUGUGCCACUGUAUGUAUGAAUUUAUUUUGCUUUUACGCUGCAAAAAUUAUUUACGCAAAGUUCUAUAAAUAUUGUUUUAUAAGAAAAUGUAAUAUUUUAUGAAAUAUUUUUAUUUAAUUUGAAUAGCUAUAACUUCAUUUUAAAUUGAUG